GACGAACGUUGGCGGCGUGCUUAACACAUGCAAGUCGAACGGAGUGGCGAACGGGUGAGUAACACGUGGGUGAUCUGCCUUGCACUUCGGGAUAAGCUUGGGGAAAUGGGUCUAAUACCGGAUUGUGCAAGAUGAGCUCGCGGCGGAUCAGCUUGUUGGUGGGGUAAUGGCCUACCAAGGCGUCGACGGGUAGCCGGCCUGAGAGGGUGUACGGCCAUAUUGGGACAGAGAUACGGCCCAGAAUCCUACGGGAGGAAGCAGUGGGGAAUAUUGCACAAUGGGCGGAAGACUGAUGCAGCGAGGCGGCGUGGGGGAUGAAGGCCUUCGGGUUGUAAACUCCUUUCGACAGGGACGCGGUACCUGUAUAAGAAGCACUGGCUAACUACGUGCCAGCAGCCGCGGUAAUAC
rnacentral:rRNA from 1 species